CCUGCCUUUCGUGAGUGCACUCAGUGCCUCUCUGAGCCUUCACCCUCUUGUUUCUUGUUCUUUCUUGCUCUUCCCGCUUAGCCGUUUCUCUUUUUGUGCCUCUCCUCGUCUUCUUCACCAGCUGGGAUAAGUGUGUCUCGUCUUGUCUUCCUCCCCUCAUCCCAACCAGCCGCAGCAUAUGGUCGCCCCUGCCUAAGUUCUGCCGGAGGUUUCUUGCUGUUAAAAGGGAGUUUUUCCCUUCCCAUUCUCUCCAAAGUGAUUGCUUUAAGGGGGUCAAACAAUUGUUGGGUUUUUUUGUUUUCUUUGUGUCUAAGGGAAUGGGGUUUUGGGGGCUAACAGGAAGAGAGAAACUGCAUAGAGGAUGCAAGACUACAGCUCUGCUUGGUCCCAACUCUACAUAGUUAUGCAUCACACAAACAGCAGGUGCUGCUCUCUCAAACCCAUUAUUUUCAGUGGCUUUCACAGUACAACAAAGAAUGACUGGACCUUGUGGUAACUUAAAAUGGGCCUUGGGGUGUUGAUGAAGCAGCUAAGUAUGAUUAACUCAGUUGCAUCCGCACUUUAUAUAGCGAUAUAGCAUUGUCCACAUAACUGUUUGCAUUUGUUAAAACAGGCCCAAGAAAAAUCCUGGUGCCAAAAAAGUCCACCAGAGGAUUAAAUGACUACAGGCCUGUCGUGCUAACAUCUGUGGCUGUGAAGUCCUUUGAAAGACUUGUGUUAAGCCACCAGAAGGACAUUGCACUGGAAGUUCACCUAGCUUCCACCUGUCAGUGGAUCACCAGACCAUUAGCACCAGCCUCAUCCAGAGAUGUGUUCUCUCCACUGCUCUUCUCUCUCUAGACAAAUGAGUGCACCUCAGGAGAACCAUAUGUGAAACUCCUAUAGUUUAUCAAGGACACCAAUGUCAUUGGUCUGAUCCAGAAAUAUGAUGUGUCAGCAUACAGACAGGAAGUGGAUCCCCGCAAUCUGAAGUGGUCCUCACAUAUAGACUCUGUCUGAAAGAAGGCCCAGCAGAUGUUGAACUUCCUGCAGCUACUCAGGAAGUUCAACUUGCCACUGAAGCUGCUGGUCAUGUUCUACACUAUCAUCAUCCAAUCUGUCCUAUGCAUGUCAAUCACUGUCUGGUUCAGCUCAGCCACAAAGCAGGACAGGGCCAGACUGGAAAGGACAAUCAUGUCUGCAGAGAGGAUCAUUGGUGCUUAUGUUCCCUCCAUCCAGGACCUGUACAGGUCCAGGGCUAGGAGAUGGGCAGAAAACAGCGCUACAGGAUGUCAUUUACUAAAACAUUUGCUUUGACCACAGUUUAGGUAAAAAAAAAAAAGAUAACACCCCCCCCAAAAAAGACAAAAACAAAAAAAACA